rnacentral:rRNA from 1 species
UCGUUAUGUGCCACAAUCUUAAGAGCCAAGUAUUUUCCAGAUGGCGAUAUGACGAACGCACGUUUAAAAAAGGGCUCCUCGUUUACUUGGCAAAGCAUUAUGGUGGGAGUAGAAUCGUUAAGAAAUGGCUAUAUAUGGAGAGUUGGAAAUGGAGAAAAUACUGAUAUAUGAAGACAUGCAUGGAUCCCGAAUUAUGUGAAUAGGAGAAUUAUUACUCCUAGACAAGGGAAUCUUCUAACAAAAGUGGGCGAUCUUAUUGACCCAGCCACGAAUAUUUGGGAUGAAGAUUUGGUGAGACAAACACUGUGGCCAAUUGAUGCUCAUCGUGUCCUCGCGAUCCCUCUUUCUAUGCAUAAUAUGUCGGAUUUCAUUGCUUGGAGCUAUUAUAAGAAUGGCUUGUUUACAGUUUGAUCAACUUAUUUGGAAGAAUGGAAUAAAUAACAUGGGAGAAAAUUAGAAUACACAAAUGGCAUGGGUAUAAGUAAGUUCAAUCCUAUUUGGGGUACGAUUUGGAAAUUAGCUUGUCCAGCGAAGGUAAAAAUCUUUAUAUGGCGUACACUUCAUGGGACCCUACCGUGCCGCGUUACGUUAACAAAUAGACACAUGAAAAUUUCGCCCAUUUGCCCACCUUAUUCGAAUGGGUCAGAGGAUACAAAACACGUGUUGUUUCUAUGCUAGAAGGCAAAAGAAAUGUGGGGUAAAUUGGGGAUGUAUUGA